rnacentral:lncRNA from 1 species
CAGACACAGCAUGAGGGUUCAACAGGUGUUGGUUGCUUGAAUGAAUGAACGAACGAAUGCAGGGACAGGGGCAGGACUCAUCUGCUCUGUCACCUGGUGCUCUUAACCCCGCAGGGCCCCGAUACAUUCCUUCUAGAGCCUGGUUCCAGGAAAAAUGUUGUCUCUGCCGAGGUCUGAACAUGCUUUCUGUUGUUGGAAAAUGAAAACUAUGCAACCCCAUGUGCUUCUCUUUCUGCCUUAGCUGCCAGAAGCCAGAGCCAAAUGUGUCGCCCAAGUAUGGGGGCUGCGCUCCCUGGUUUCUGAAGCACCACCUCGGCUUCCUUUGGGGAGCACUGUUCAGAUUCACCUGCCUUGCGCCAGAAUCUCUGGGCACCCCCAUGCCUAGCCCAGGGCAGGAGCCAAGUCUGAAAGAAACUCAAGUGCUUGACAAGCUCAUCCGGGAAAGCACAAAGCUGUCGGACCUGAGAAGGACGUCUUAUCAAAGUCCACACUCUCCGAUCUUAGAGGAGACGAAAUAGGAGGGCAAUGGCUUCCGUCAAGGCUGAAACCAAACAUUUUGGCUAUAUCUGAACGACCACUGAAUCACCGAGUCCACCGUAUUUUUCCACUUUCAAGUUGUUUCUGGGCUGCUGUGGAGACACGCCCUUCCUGGGUUUAAUGGCCCUCGUGUCAGGCUGUGGGGAGGAGGCGUGUUUACUUUUUGCAGGGAAAAUAGUGGUUAAUGGUGGACGGAUGGACCUGAUUAGUAAUUGGGUGAUUUAUCCCAUGAACGUUCUUUGGGUUUUCCCGGUGGUUUGCACUUGAAUGUCGGCUGAAUGAAGUAGGAGGAGGGACUAAGAGGAAGAUGGUUUCGAGGAGAAAGGGGUGGGGUUGGCUCAGGGUUGAGGGCUGUUUCAGGGACAGGUGGAGGUUUGCGCAGAUCAAGGGAGAAGGUUGUUCCAUCUGUUGUCCAAGACUCUUCCUCUAUGUUCAUUCACUCACUCGCUUAAUCGCUCACUCACUCAUUCACUUAUUGAAAGCUAUGAAAUUCUGAGCACCUUCUCUGUGCUGGGGAUACAGCACACCUCAUACCUCCUAAGUACCAUGCAGCCAGUGUGAUGAAUAAGCUCUCUUUCUGCCAUGGACUGAGCCUUGUGUCCCCGGCCAAAUUCCCGUGUUGAAAUCUAAUUCCCAAAGUGAUGGUAUUUGGAGGUGGGGUCUUUGGGAGGUAAGUAGGUCUUGAAGGUGGAUCCCUUGUGAAUGGGAUUAGUGCCCUUAAAAAAGAGACUGAAAAGAGCUCCCUGGCUCUCUUUCCACCAUGUGAGGACACAAGAAGAAGUCAGCCUUAACCCAGAAGAGGGCCCUCACCAGAACCUGAUCAUGCUGGCACCGUGAUUUCAGACUUCCAGCCUCCAGAACUGUGAGAAAUACAUUUCUAUUAUUUAUAAGCCACCCGGUUUCUGGUAUUUUGUUACAGCAGCCUGAGCUGGCGAAGAUGCCCUCCUUUAGAGGAGCGUGCAGACUUGAUAAGGGAAACAGAUGGGCCAACAGAUAAUUCCCAGCAGAGGUGUGUUCAAACAUGAGCCCUGGGGACUAGGUACUAAGCAGAUGGAGGAACAGAGAUGUAAGUAACUUACCCAAGAUCACACAGCCAGCAGAUCUGCACCGAGGCAGUGUGUCCAGCUUUUUAUCGUCAUGGUAUCCAGGUCUACUUUGGAAACGAGGCGGCUAUGCCUCAAAAGGGAAGGGUUCCCAGAGAGAGUGAUGUUGGACGUGGGCCUUGAGGAGGAAGUAGAGAAGUUUUAGAGGUAGAGGAGGCCACAGCAAGAUGCCCCAACAGCUGAAAGUGCCUGUCACGUGCCAAGAGUGGCAAGGGGUGGAGGUUUCCUGAGAGGGGAAGUGGAGGAGAGGCCGGCAGGGCCAGACUCUGAUCCUUUCUUGAAGGAGUGGCUUGGGUAGUCCGAUUUUAAAUGAAGAAAGAGCUCUCAGCGGGGUGCAGUGGCUCACGCCUGUAAUUUCAGCACUUUGGGAGGCCAAGGCUGGUGGAUCACCUGAGGUCAGGAGUUCAAGACUAGCCUGGCCAACAUGGCGAAACCCCGUCUCUACAAAAAUACAAGAAUUAGCCAGGCAUGAUUGUGGGUGCCCGUAAUGCCAGCUACUCGGGAGGCUAAGGAGGGAGAAUCGCUUGAUCCCAGGAGGCAGAGGUUGCAGAGAGCCGAGAUGGCACCACUGCACUCCAGCCUGGGUGACAGAGUGAGAUUCCAUCUCUAAAACAACAACAAAGAAAACGAAAACAAAACAAAAAAAAGAAGGAAAAAAAAAGGAAGAGCUCCCAGGCAGCUCAGUAGAGAAUGGCUUGAGAGGUGGGGGAAGAUUAGAGGCAGGGGAAAGUGGACACCUGCUGUUUCAGCCCCCUAGCACCUGCUCUUCCCCAGGAGACAACCUCCUUUGUUCUGAGGCCUGGUGUUUUCACUGAUGCUGACUGCUUGAGGGGUGGCACAUGACUCAGGUCUGGCCAAUCAGCCUCUUCCAUCCCCCUGGCUGCAGGGACUGGCUCAGGAGGGUGCAUGUGACCAGAGGCCGACCGAUGAGACUCAGUUCUGAGAUUUUUGUUAGACUUGUUGCAGAAAAGAGACUGUCUCCUGAGGUUGCUGAGCUGGGUAUCUCCACCAGGAGCUGCAGGGGCCAUGCUGUCACCAUGUGAAGACAGGUUGCUUGACAACAAAGUUGCAUUAGUUUCCUUGGGCAGCCAUAGCAAAGUAUCACAGACUGGGGAGCUUAAACAACAGAAAUUUAUUUCCCCACAAUUCUGGAGGCUAAGUCCAAGAUCAAAGUGUCAGCAGGGUUGAUUUCUUCUGAGGCUUCUCUUCGGCUUGUAGAUGGGUGGCUGUCUUCUUCUGGUGUCUUUACAUGGUCUUCCCUCUGUAUGUGUGUGUGUCUGUGUCCCAAUCUCCUCCUUUUCUUCUUCUCCUUUUUUUUUUUUUUUCUUUUGGGAUGGAGUCUCUCACUCUGUCCCCAGGCUGGAGUGCAGUGACCUGAUCUCGGCUCACUGCAACCUUCACCUCCUGGUUCAAGUGAUUCUCCUGCCUCAGCCCCCCGAGUAGCUGGGACUACAGGCACAAGCCACCAUGCCCAGCUAAUUUUUGUAUUUUUAGUAGGGACUGGCUUUCACCUUAUUGGCCAGGCUGGUCUGGAACUCCUGACCCUGUGAUCCGCCUGCCUUGGCCUCCCAAAGUGCUGGGAUUACAGACGUGAGCCACUGUGCCCCGGCCAUACACAACUCAUAAUGGAUUAAGGUCCACCUAAUGACCUCACUUAACCUUAAUUACCUCUUUAAAGACCCUGUCAGAAAAUAUAGUUACAUCUGAAGUACCCGGGGUUAGGAUUUCAACAUACUGGAGGUGGGAGGAGCACAAUUCAGCGCAUAACAGAAGCUAACACAGAAAAAAACACAGAGAUGGGGUAAGAGACUGAGGCUUGACUUUGUUUGAGCUCCUGGAUCCAGCUGUGCCUGAAGUUGAAACUAAUACUAUCCAGGACUCUUGAGUUUCAUGAUCCAAUAAGUACCUAAAUCCCACCUCUCCUUUUUUUUCCCCUCUUGAACCUAGUUGAGUUGGAUUUCUGUCACUUACAGUUAAAAUUCCUGAGUAAUACACAGGAGAACUAGUUAACAAAUUAUUAAAAUAGCCCACCCCUAAUUUAAUCACCAUGUGCAAGGACAGUGCUUGUAUGUACACCCAGGUAUGUCUAAUUCUAAUAGCUAGAGGUAGCAAAUAUGGUAAAAAUUGAGCCAAGUUUGCACUAGCCUCUUCCAUUAAGCAGGAAUUCCCACCUUAGCUCUGAAGCCAUGUAGGACAGGGCUGGAGAAACUACUAUUCCUACCAAUGUUUCUAAUGUGUGCAGUAGGCUGGGGUGCUGGCAGGGGAAAAUUAAAAAUGUAGUUUGGGUUAAAAAAAAAAGAAAAAGAGCUUUCUAGGCCAGGCGCAGUGGCUCACGCCUGUAAUCCCAGCAUGUUGGGAGGCUGGGGCGGGUGGAUAGCUUGAAUCCAGGAGUUUGAGACCAGCCUGCGCAACGUGGUGAAACCCCGUCUCUACAGAAAAUACAAAAAUUAGCCAGGAGAGUCGCUGUGUGUCUGCAAUCCCAGCUACUUGGGAGGCUGAGGUGGGAGGAUUGCUUGAACCCAGGAGGCGAUGGUUGCAGUGAGCCGAGAUGGCGCCACUGUACUCCAGCCUGGGUGACAGAGUGAGACCCUGUCUCAAAAUCAAUCAGUCAAUCAAUCAAUCAAACAAACAAACAAACAAAAAACAGCUUUCCAGAAGGGAAAAAUCAUUUUGGGAAGCUUUGAGUAGGGGCUGUGGAGAGUGGGCUCCAGACGUCACUUCAUUGGUUGGCAGGUGCUGUUAGGGGGUGCCCAGAGGGGAGCUCGGGGGAGCGGCGGCUUUCUUCCAGCAGAUAUGGACUCGGGCAGGAGCCACUGAGCAAGUACUCCGAUGGGCUGGGCUUCCUGAGGCUUCAUGCCUGGGCUGAGCAGGGCGGGGCUGUGGUCCACGUGGUGCCCAUUGGCCUCCCAAAAGGAAGGAGCGGGGAGAACUAGAAAUGUGGCUGGAAAAAGUCAGCAUCUCCCUCCUGGGCGGGCUCCCUGGUGGUCCCGGGAGCUGGCCAUGUCUGGAGGAGGAGGCUCCUCUAAGGUGUGCAGCUGCCUUUCUCAAUGCCGCUGAGUUGGAUUGGGAUCUCUUUCAAUGAGAGUGUUUUGAGGGACCCUCAGCUCCAUGCUCUGCUGGCUUCCUCCAGGGAUGCUGAGAGGUGGCCCUUCUAGUGGUAAGAUGAGGGGCCCAUGGCCUUGUGGAGUCAGACACACUGGCAUUCACUGAAAGCUCUGUGCCUGACCUACCUGGUGACUUGGGGCAAGUGACUUCACCUGACUGAGCCUCUUUCCUUCAUCACUGGCAAAAUGGAACCAACUUCACAGCCUUCUCCUGAGGCUUAAGUGAAACCAAGCAGUCAUAAAGGGAUAGGCUUUGGAGUCCCUGGGUUUGCAUCCCAGUUUACUAACUGAGCUGGGUGGCCUUGGGCAAGUCACUCACCCUCUCUGAGCCUCAGUGUCCUACUCUGUAAAAUGAACCCACCAAUGGUACUUAUUUCCUAGGGCAAAUGUGAGGAUUGACAGAUAAAACAUGUAAACUUCAUGAAAGCAAGGGGUUUUGUUAUUGAUUUAUCCCCUCUGCAGUUCCUGGGACAUAAAGACACUAAAUAAAUGGGAUCAGCUUUUAUUGUUAUUAUGAUUCACCGUCACCCAGCACUGGUUGAGGCUGCUCUCUGUGGCAUCCUGUAGACACACUUGUAUGUGAGUUUCUGGUCAGGAUGGGGAGGACAAGACCACUGUCUCUGGCACACUUAGCAAACUCUAUCUCCAGGGAUAGAGUAAGACUCCUAUGGUGCAGGAGGGGGCAUGAGGGAAGGCUAGGAGUGCCCUCUGCACUGUUUAAGCACCUCACUUGUGUCAUUUCACUGCACCCAUACCCACGCCCCAUGAACUAGAUUCAUUUAUUACCCCAUUUGACGAUGAGGAGGCUGAGGUUCAUCAAGGUAUAGCCAUUGAGAUCUUACUGCCAGGGAGAGGUAGAGCCAGGGUUCAAACCUGAAUUUGUACUGUUCCAAAUCCCUUUUUUAAAAAUUUUUAUUUUUAUUUUUUUUUUAUUUUCCCAGGCUGGAGUGCAGUGGGCAAUUAAGGCUGACUACAGCCCCCAACUCCUGGGCCCAGACAAUCCUCCCGCUUCAGCCUCCCAAGUAGCUGGGACCACAGACGUGUGCCACAGUGUAGGCCCCUUCUUUUUAAAUAGCGUGGUAUGCAGGAAACAGUGAAGGAGGGAUGGAGGGUCAGAGUCACCGGGUAGAGGGUGCGUUCCUGGGCCGACUGGGGUGGGGCCUCUAGGAAUGAGCCACAAGGGCAGGCCCCACCGCCUUCUCUCAUAUUUGGCAGGUGCUGUGUCCCCUGCUCCGUGCCCCUCAGGAUUCUUUAGGAAGUGGCUCCAUCGACCCACUCUCAGUUGAGCUGAAAGAGGACUCGAGGGACUCUUUAUUGGGAAAAAAUGGAGUGCAAAGCCUACUCCUGCCCCUGCCAGCACCAGCCUUCGGAGGCAAAUAAAAAGCAGUGGGCACUGGGACAGCAGCCCCAGAGGUGCACUAAAAUCCACCUGACAAAUGGCCCCUCUCCCAUGAGCCCACGAACAGCAGAGAGGAAGGUGGCCAGGGCCAAGUAGAAAGAUUUCUACAGCAUGGCCGAGUUCUCCAAGGUCAAGAGCAAGCAGAGCUGCCGCCUGUAUUCCUGAGAACUGGCCUCCUGGGGAUGUGGCCAGCCCUUUUUAAGGGAUUUGGGUCAAGGUGGGGAUUCUGACCCUCACCGCUGUGCUGGGACUGGCCUGGGAACUGGGAAGGAGGAUACACUUGGGAAAACUGCAGUGAAGAAUGCAUAAUAAUGGAAGGAAUCUCAUGGAUGAUUAUCAGGUAGCUCUCAGGAUCAAGAGGAAAGCUGGAGACGGCCUUUCGGCAGGAAGGGGGAAACUGAGGCAGAAGGCAGACCCUGCCCAGUGAUGGUCCCUUUCACAUGUCACUACUGGCACCAUCACUGUGGGACAUAUACUCCCACCAUGGGCACUACAGGCUCUGGGUCUUGCUGUGCUCCCUGGACUGUUGACUGCCUGGAAGCCUCUGGGAGUCACCUCUCGCUCUGUAGCUUCAGGUCUCUCCUCCCAGAGUCAAACUCCCCAUGGGCAGGGCUGCUGGAUAAAAUACAGGAUGCCCAGUGACAUUCUACUUUCAGAUAAUUGAAAAAAAUUUUUUAGUAGAAAAAAGUUAUUUAUCUGAAAUUCAAAUUUAACUGGAUAGCCUGUAUUUUUAUUUGCUAACUUAGCCGCCCCACUCAGAGCGCUGGGCCCUGCUCUGGUGCCUGGUGGGGAGGAACUCUGUCUCUUCCACUUCUGGGGUAAGAAUGUCAAUCUUGUUGGAUUGGAUUGAUUACAUUGUUUGGAUGGAAAAUAGAGGAAAAAGAGCACAUACAACUGCGACUCCUUAAACCUGUCCCCCUAUUUGUUUUUUUUGUUUUUUUUUUUGAGACAGGGUCUCACUCUGUCACCCAGGCUGGAGUGCAGUGUCAUGGUCAGGGUUUGCUGCAGCCUUGAAGUCCUGAGCUCAAGUGAUCCUCCUGCCUCAGCCUCCAGAGUACCUGGGAGUACAGGCGUGCGCCACCACACCCAGCUAAUUUUUGUAAUUUUUUUUUUUUUGUAGAGAUGGGGUUUCACCAUGUUGGCCAGGCUGGUCUCAAACUCCUGGGCUCAGGUGAUCUGCCCUCCUCGGCCUCCCGAAGUGCUGGGAUUACAGGUGUGAGCCACCAUGCCUGCCUGUCCCAUUUCCCCAUUUUAAAAAAGUCACCUGCCCGAUUGGUUUUCAAAGCUGCCUUCACUCAAAGAGGGCCUGGAGGGUAGGAAUGACUCAUACAGUCAUUCAUUGUCUGUGCCCGCUUUUCAUAGCACAAAAGAUAGGUCCUUCCCAUCCCGCCCAUCCUCUCCCUGCUGGUCAUCUUGUAUGCGGAGAAUCCAAGGAUCUUCUUACCAAUGAGUUCUUGCCGCUCAUGAGCAGGUGAAGGAGUGGAGCUGAAGUGGAAAUAAUCUAUGGGCUGGACUGUCUAGACAGCAUUUGCUCCUCUGGAUAGGGAGGAGAGCAGACAGAAGCGGGCUUUGGCCAAACUGAAACUCAAGCCAUCACUGCCAGCCCUUCCUGAGCCAUCUCAGAUGAGCCUUGUCUCUGGGCCACAGCCAGAAUUGGCCUGGGCUGUUUCUCACUCCUAUUUCAAAGGAUUUGUGCUCCUAGCAGAGGAAAAGCUUGAACAUUUACAGUGAAAAAUUUAGUAGAAGGGGGAAGAAACAGAGGGUCUUUCUUUCUUUCUUUCUUUCUUUUUUCUUUCUUCUUUUCCUUCUUUUGUCUUAUCUUUUGGUUUUGGGGCAGUGAAAGAAAAUUAAUUUUUUAGCUAUAAAACUUUGUCUUAAGAUCAGUUUUGGAAAGAAAAGCAUCUACUAAUUGAAAACGUCACUUUUCGGGCCCUUAAGUCAAGGGAAACAGGUGCAAGUUUGUGGUUUUAGACACAGCAUUUCUUUUGGAAAAAAGUAGUAAAAGUACCCCAGAUAAGUUCUCUCCAAAGCUGGAUAGAUUUUUAUUUUUCAGCCCUUUAUUACAUAGAAGGUGACAGAUUAGCUGAAAAGUUAAAAGAAAAAUCAACUCUCACCCUUGUAGGUAACACUCCAAUCUCUCUCUCUCUUUUUUCUUUCCAAGGCUGAAGAGAGGGCAACUGUUUACUGCAAUUUUGAUAAAAUUCCCUUUCAAUACGGCCUGUUCCUGGAUAGAGUCCCACCUUUCAUCUGCUUUUAUUCCUAAUCCUGUGGCAAAGCCUGGACCUCCCUUUUCUUCUCAUACAAGCUCGACAGAGCUGGCAUUUUCCUUCUCCAUUUCAGUGACAUGUUUUUCAGUGUUUUGUCUGUUUGUGAAGGGGCAGAAAUGUCAAGGUCAAAAAAGUCUUGGAAAAAAUGAGUAGUAUUUCUGUACCUGCUGAGGGUUAGGUGCUUGGAUGUUAUAUAUCUCUGCAUUCCCACAGUAAAACCAUGUGUGGUUGGGGAGCUUUUCCUUUUUUAACCUCUCUGGGUGGUUGAGGAAUUGGAGGCUCAGAGAGGAGAAGUGACACAGCCCAAGGUGACGCCACCAGGAGCUGAACUUGAAAGCCAAGCCAAGUCCGUCUGACCAUCAAGCGUUGCUCCUAUAAUCAUACUACCUUGCCUUCUGCCUUUGUAAACAUGAGGUGACACAUCAAGCUAGGGCUAUUAAAAUACCCAGAAGCACUUUUCUUCCAAAUAACUCACAAUAUCUUGUCUUUGGGAAGUAUUCAAUAGGUUUAUUUCAGUAAAAGAUACACCAUUGCCAUGGUUUUAGGGAGUGAUUCUGAAUUUUAUGUUACUGAUUAAGAAAGAUGGUUAAUGGAACCUGUUUCCUUAAGAAAUUUACAUCAUAUAUUAGUAAGCUGUUGCUGUGUAGCAAAUCACACCAACACUUAGUGCCUUGAAGUAACAACAUGUAUUAUCUCACAAUUUCUGUAGGUGUGAAAACUGGACAUCAUUUAGCUGGGUCCUGUGCUUCAGGGUAUCUCACAGGCAGCACACAAGGCUUCAUCUGGGCUAUACUCAUCAGAAGGCUGGAUUGGGGAAGAUCUGCUUCCAAGUUUACUUACAUGGUUGUUGGUGGGAUUCAGUUCCUGGUAGGCUGCCAGCUUUAGCUCCUCAUUUCCUGAUGGCUGGAGGGUUCCCUCAGUUCCUUUCCAUGUGGGCCUCUCCAGCAUGGCUGCUUGCUUCAUCAAAGUGUACAAGAAGGGAGACAGCAAUAGGAACAUGUCAGCAAGAUGGAAUCCACAGUCUUUUUAAAGCUAACCAUGGAAGUGAUAUUCCAUCACUUUUGGUGUAUUCUGUUUGUUAGGAACAAGACACUAGGUCCAGCCCACCACUCAAGGUAUGGGAUUACACACGGCAUGAAUACUAUGGGGUGGGGAUCACUGGAAAUUAUGUCAGCAGCUAUCUGUCACACAUGAGAGAAGUGGAGAUGGUAGUCAUAAUAAUAGUCAUCAUCAUCAUAAUAAUAAGGCUGGUGAGGAUAGCCAGCAUUUAUUGGGUGUUCUUGAUGCAUCAGGCACUGGGCUAAAUCCCUUCUAUGCAUUGUCUCCUUUAAUCUCCUCAUCACUCUCAUUAACUUCCCUGAGUUACUACAGCAAAGAGAUUAGGACCAGACUCUGUUGUUUCCACUCCGAAGUCCAUCCCUUUACAUGAUGCAGAUCAUUGAUAAGAAUCCACUGAGCUGCUGAGGCUCCAGGAAAGACCUGAUUGAGAGAGGAGUCUGAUAAACGAAGCUGAACUCACUGCUCCUCAGAAAACUGCAAAUGAACACAACCAGAAGCCAUUUCUUACCCAUCAGAUUGGAAAAGAAAAUUGGCCACCGAGCAGAACUCAGGGAGAGGGUGUGGAGCCCUCAGAGGCCAGGCAGGCUGAGAGGAUGGCAUGUGUGCACACCACAAACCAGCUUCCAAACAUAGCCACAGUUCAGGGGAAAAAACCCCAACCUGACUUCAUAAGCUCUCCUGAUGGAUAUAUAAAUCCUCUUGAGGAAACGCUGGGUUAUUAUUGAAUGUUCACUGUGUUUCCUGGAUGGAGUUUGGAAGAGAGUAGACAACUCAACUUUUGUUCGGCAGGAACUUGGAAGACAGGGGAUGGGGCUCUGUAACCCACCUACACAUACAUCUUUCAGCAUGGAGCGUCUGUUCAAUAUGCCCUCACCUAGAGCCCGGUCCUGCGUGAAUAUGCUCAUGCACUGAGACCUCGGGCAAACCUGGGGGCUGAGGAGCCUUAUCCAGAUUGCACAGGUGAGGCCAUGGGUCCCAUGCCGGUGAAGAGACUCACAUCAGCUCGUACAAUCUGAUGGUGCUGGAGUUAGGAUUUGGAUCUCAAACUGGUUCUCUCCAAAAGUCAUCUCUUAACCACUCAGUUUAAUUGCCUCAUCACAUAAAAUUACCUCACCUGGAAGAAAUGCCCUGUUCAGGUAUGUAUUCAGAUGGUGUGGGCCGGGGCCAGGAGGAGGGCAAGCAUGCAAGUGAACUUUCGUAUUGAGCUGACCUGUUCAUGAGCCUUCUCUGCCAUGAAGGGAACCACCCCCCUCCCCCACUCCUGGCCCGCCAUGAAACUGACGGAGAGGUAUGGGUAUGACAUUGCUGAGCGGGAUGGUGGCUGGGCCACCUGUGCGUGGAGCUGAAUUGUGCAUUCUGGACCUGCUGUUGCUCAAUCUGGAAUGUGCCACUCCCAUCAUCUUACGACAGGCUAUAGCUGGGCCUGUCCAACUUCGUGACUUGAUGGAUCAUGACGGGCAGUUCUGGUUGCGUGUUCACUUGAUAUUUCAUGGCCAAGUGCUUCGUAAUGAGCAGACAAAUAGUAAGCCAGGAGCUGUUUGUUGAAAGGUACAUAGCUCUCCACCACAGAUAGCACGGUCUUGUUCUGGAAGCCCAGGGAACUAUGCUGUGAUUCUUCUACUGGGGCCUUCAGUAAACUCCUCAUGGCGCCUUCUUUCUCUUAUGGAAAACUCUAAUAUCGGAGGCCCGGCGGAGUCAUAUGGCCCAAGUGGCAGGGCUGCUUGCUCACAGCCCGGACCUGCCGCCCAGCCCUUUCCUGCUCUGGGUCCCAUUCGCACCUGGAGACUUCUGUGUCGCUCAGUAAACUGUUUCGGAGAAGUUUCCCCAACUGUGGAAUCUGCUGCCUCCAGACCCCAAAAAGGCACACCAGGCUUUGUGCUUCCUUUUGAGUGGUGGGAGGUGGGAGAUGCUUUAAUUUGUCUUUUAUUUUGGAGGGGAUGGCCCCUUACAUAGUAAGGCCCACUCUUCCGUGCUUAGGACUAAAAAUGUCACCAAUAUAGGGGGU